CCUACGGGUGGCAGCAGUGGGGAAUAUUGCACAAUGGGCGAAAGCCUGAUGCAGCCACGCCGCGUGAGCGAUGAAGGCCUUCGGGUCGUAAAGCUCUUUCCUCAGGGAGGAUAAUGACGGGACUUGAGGAGGUGGCCACGGCCAGCUACGUGCCAGAGACCGCGGUAAUACGUCGGGGGCUGACGUAAUCCGGAAUUACUGGGCGUAAAGGGUGCGUAGGUGGUGUCUUAGGUCAGAGGGGAAAGGCCACGGCUCAACCGCAGUAAGCCUUUGAAACUGGUGAACUUGAGUGCAGGAGAGGAGAGUGGAAUUCCUAGUGUAGCGGUGAAAUGCGUAGAUAUGAGGAGGAACACCAGUUGCGAAGGCGGCCCUCUGGACUGUAACUGACACUGAGGCACGAAAGCGUGGGGAGCAAACAGGAUUAGAUACCCCUGUAGUC
rnacentral:rRNA from 1 species